rnacentral:rRNA from 1 species
AUGCACUGGGGCUGCCCUUUAUUACCUCUAGAGGUCAGAAGGGCCCUUGCCAAGAAGAAAUAUAAUGUGUUUCAUGACCGUCUGAUGCCUGAGGGUUCCAAUAAGGUAUCCCUGCACGAUAUAACUGAUUCUGAGGAGCAGCAACAAGGUAAAAAGGGACACAAAGCAGGAGGUAAUCUUUGUGUCAAAAUGUGGACCUUGCCUGAGGGUGUACGGGUGCCAGUCUCCUUGAACACUUCGGGCCUGCCAAUUGGAGUAAAUGCAAACAUGUUGAUUAACUUUCUAGGCACACUAGCAUGA